rnacentral:lncRNA from 1 species
CUUUUUAGGCUUCGUUUGGUUCGGGUAUAAGCAAGAAAAUAGUUAUACCGGGGAUAGGUACAAAAAUGAAUUUUCGUAGGAACAAAAGUAUUUUUUUGUUUGGAUGAAAAUAUGAGUAUAAGCUGGAACUAGAAAAAUUGUGUUUGGAUGAAAAUCUGAGUAUAAGGUGAAAUAGUUGAUAGUUAUAGAUAGAAGGGGCAAUUUCAUAGGUACCCCUCCCAAAGUUUAAAAUAUCAUACAUGCCCCUAUAAAGUUUAAAAUAUCAUAUAUGCCCCUGUAAACAUUGAAAAUUAUCACCAAUGCCCCUACCGUCAGUUGUGUUAGUUUUACUAUAGUUAUUAAAAGAUUAAAGAUGGGUUAACUUUUAAAAUGACCUAUUUGCCCUCAACUAUGC